ACGGAAGGCAGCAGUGGGGAAUAUUGGGCAAUGGGGGAAACCCUGACCCAGCAACGCCGCGUGAAGGAAGAAGGCCUUCGGGUUGUAAACUUCUUUUACCAGGGACGAUAAUGACGGUACCUGGAGAAAAAGCAACGGCUAACUGCGUGCCAGCAGCCGCGGUAAUACGUAGGUUGUAAGCGUUGUCCGGAUUUACUGGGUGUAAAGGGCGUGUAGGCGGAGCUGCAAGUCAGAUGUGAAAUCCCGGGGCUCAACCCCGGAACUGCAUUUGAGACUGUAGCUCUUGAGUAUCGGAGAGGCAAGCGGAAUUCCUAGUGUAGCGGUGAAAUGCGUAGAUAUUAGGAGGAACACCAGUGGCGAAGGCGGCUUGCUGGACGACAACUGACGCUGAGGCGCGAAAGCGUGGGGAGCAAACAGGAUUAGAUACCCUGGUA
rnacentral:rRNA from 1 species